CGUUGGCGGCGUGCCUAAUACAUGCAAGUCGAGCGAACUGAUGAAGAGCUUGCUUUUGAUCAGUUAGCGGCGGACGGGUGAGUAACACGUGGGUAACCUGCCUGUAAGACUAGGAUAACUCCGGGAAACCGGGGCUAAUACUGGAUAACUUUUCUCUCCGCAUGGAGAGAGAUUGAAAGAUGGCUUCGGCUAUCACUUACAGAUGGACCCGCGGCGCAUUAGCUAGUUGGUGAGGUAACGGCUCACCAAGGCAACGAUGCGUAGCCGACCUGAGAGGGUGAUCGGCCACAUUGGGACUGAGACACGGCCCAAACUCCUACGGGAGGCAGCAGUAGGGAAUCUUCCGCAAUGGACGAAAGUCUGACGGAGCAACGCCGCGUGAGUGAAGAAGGUCUUCGGAUCGUAAAACUCUGUUGUUAGGGAAGAACAAGUAUCGUUCGAAUAGGGCGGUACCUUGACGGUACCUAACCAGAAAGCCACGGCUAACUACGUGCCAGCAGCCGCGGUAAUACGUAGGUGGCAAGCGUUGUCCGGAAUUAUUGGGCGUAAAGCGCGCGCAGGCGGUCUUUUAAGUCUGAUGUGAAAGCCCACGGCUCA
rnacentral:rRNA from 2 species